rnacentral:rRNA from 1 species
GGUGAGUAACACGUGGGCAAUCUGCCCUGCACUCUGGGACAAGCCCUGGAAACGGGGUCUAAUACCGGAUACGACCACUGAGGGCAUCCUCGGUGGUGGAAAGCUCCGGCGGUGCAGGAUGAGCCCGCGGCCUAUCAGCUUGUUGGUGGGGUGAUGGCCUACCAAGGCGACGACGGGUAGCCGGCCUGAGAGGGCGACCGGCCACACUGGGACUGAGACACGGCCCAGACUCCUACGGGAGGCAGCAGUGGGGAAUAUUGCACAAUGGGCGAAAGCCUGAUGCAGCGACGCCGCGUGAGGGAUGACGGCCUUCGGGUUGUAAACCUCUUUCAGCAGGGAAGAAGCGAAAGUGACGGUACCUGCAGAAGAAGCGCCGGCUAACUACGUGCCAGCAGCCGCGGUAAUACGUAGGGCGCGAGCGUUGUCCGGAAUUAUUGGGCGUAAAGAGCUCGUAGGCGGCUUGUCACGUCGGUUGUGAAAGCCCGGGGCUUAACCCCGGGUCUGCAGUCGAUACGGGCAGGCUAGAGUUCGGUAGGGGAGAUCGGAAUUCCUGGUGUAGCGGUGAAAUGCGCAGAUAUCAGGAGGAACACCGGUGGCGAAGGCGGAUCUCUGGGCCGAUACUGACGCUGAGGAGCGAAAGCGUGGGGAGCGAACAGGAUUAGAUACCCUG